rnacentral:rRNA from 1 species
UGCAUAUCAAUAAGCGGAGGAAAAGAAACCAACAGGGAUUGCCUCAGUAGCGGCGAGUGAAGCGGCAAGAGCUCAGAUUUGAAAUCUCACCUAGUGUGCGAGUUGUAAAUUGCAGGUUGGAGUCUCGGGUUAGACGUGUGUGCAAGUCCCUUGGAACAGGGUGCCACUGAGGGUGAGAGCCCCGUAGCGUGCAUGUCGACACCUGUGAGGCCCUUCUGACGAGUCGAGUUGUUUGGGAAUGCAGCUCUAAGUGGGUGGUAAAUUCCAUCUAAGGCUAAAUAUUGGCGAGAGACCGAUAGCGAACAAGUACUGUGAAGGAAAGAUGAAAAGCACUUUGAAAAGAGAGUGAAACAGCACGUGAAAUUGUUGAAAGGGAAGGGUAUUGGGCUCGACAUGGGAUUUACGCAUCGUUGCCUCUCGUGGGCGGCGCUCUGGGUUUUUCCUGGGCCAGCAUCGGUUUUCGUUGCAGGAUAAGGACAAUUGGAAUGUGGCUCCUCGGAGUGUUAUAGCCUUUUGUAGAUGCUGCGUAUGGGGACCGAGGGCUGCGGCGGACUCGUUUCGUCUCGGAUGCUGGCACAACGGCGCAAUACCGCCCGUCUUGAAACACG